GUGGCAGCCCUCGGAAUCACGGGGAGGUCACUGCCACAACCUGGCUCUUUGUAGGGGGGUCCAACUCCAGGCAGGGGAUCACUGCCUGAGGUACCUCUUUAGAGUCCUGAGUGUGGCUCCUGGACCAUCCCCUUCCCACUGCUUGUCCACGCGCUUGCACCGCUAUGAGCGAUGACGGCAAAGGAAAAGAAAAGCGUCCUCCCUACGAGGUGGUCUGUUUCCCAGUGGCAGGGGGAGCUACGGUACACAAGCACAGGUUCACAUUUAUGAAGCAGCCAAUAAGAAUUCCCAGCCUGAGAGGACCUUGGAACCAGAAGGAAUUGGAGGAGAUUUAAACAAGCUGACCCAAGGAAAGCACAAGAUCUUUCUAUGCAUUGAAGAUCACCAAAUCAAAGAUAAAAGUGCUCGACCAUUAUGGCCUAUGGCAAACUCGGGCUGGCUGAAGCAUCCUUCUCUUCCAUUUAGAACCCUGGUGAGGCCCCUUAGACCACCACUGGGCUGUCCUCCUCCCUCCUCAGAGACAGAGUUCUGGGCUGGGCCAUGGAGGUGUCUGUCAACACGGCAGUAGUCCUCGUUCUAUGGAAAACCAGCUGUUCCCUGUGACACGACUCCAUUCCCGCAGCUGCCUGCUAUUCAGCUGGGCUGACGGACAGCAGAGCACAGGGUUGGAAGACCACCCUCUCAGACAGGUUUACCAAGAAGCUCACUGAGAGGCGACACAAACGGCCAAGAACAUGAAAAGACGGUCAGUGCCCUUGCAGAUGGAAGCAGGCAAUCAUUUUUCACCUGCAAGGCUGAUAAAGAUGAAAUGUUCUGAUAAUACAGGAAGAGUAUAAGGAAACUGUCACUCGAUGGACUCCAGGUGAAAUAUAACUAAUCCAGCUGCCUUGGAGGGAAAAGAUAUCUUUCAAAAUUGAAAUGACAGGAAUGGCAGCAUUAUGGGUGGGAGAUAAAGAAUCUGGGUUUCUUUCAGGGGUGAUGAAAAUGUUCUAAAACGGAUUGUGGUGACAGUUUUCCACAACUCGGAAUAUACUGAAAACCACCACAUUGUAUACUUAAAUGGGUGGGUUGUAUGGUAUGUGAAUUAUAUCUCAAUAAAAUUUUUACCAAAAGA
rnacentral:lncRNA from 10 species